rnacentral:rRNA from 1 species
AGUGAACGCUGGCGGUAGGCCUAACACAUGCAAGUCGAACGGCAGCACAGUAAGAGCUUGCUCUUACGGGUGGCGAGUGGCGGACGGGUGAGGAAUACAUCGGAAUCUACUUUUUCGUGGGGGAUAACGUAGGGAAACUUACGCUAAUACCGCAUACGACCUACGGGUGAAAGCAGGGGAACUUCGGACCUUGCGCGAUUGAAUGAGCCGAUGUCGGAUUAGCUAGUUGGCGGGGUAAAGGCCCACCAAGUCGACGAUCCGUAGCUGGUCUGAGUGGAUGGUAGGCCACACUGGAACUGAGCCACGGUCCAGACUCCUACGGGAGGCAGCAGUGGGGAAUAUUGGACAAUGGGGGCAAGCCUGAUCCAGCCAUACCGCGUGGGUGAAGAAGGCCUUCGGGUUGUAAAGCCCUUUUGUUGGGAAAGAAAAGCAGCAGGUUAAUACCACGCUGUUCUGACGGUACCCAAAGAAUAAGCACCGGCUAACUUCGUG